UACGUAGGGUGCAAGCGUUAAUCGGAAUUACUGGGCGUAAAGCGUGCGCAGGCGGUUCGUUGUGUCCGAUGUGAAAGCCCCGGGCUUAACCUGGGAAUGGCAUUUGGGACUGCAAGGCUUGAGUGCGGCAGAGGAGACUGGAAUUCCUGGUGUAGCAGUGAAAUGCGUAGAUAUCAGGAGGAAUACCGAUGGCGAAGGCAGGUCUCUGGGCUGACACUGACGCUCAUGCACGAAAGCGUGGGGAGCAAACAGG
rnacentral:rRNA from 1 species